CUACGGGUUGCAGCAGUGAGGAAUAUUGCACAAUGGGGGGAACCCUGACGCAGCAACGCCGCGUGGAGGAUGACGCAUUUCGGUGUGUAAACUCCUUUUAUAUGUCAAGAAAAUGACGGUAGCAUAUGAAUAAGCACCGGCUAACUCCGUGCCAGCAGCCGCGGUAAUACGGAGGGUGCAAGCGUUACUCGGAAUCACUGGGCGUAAAGGACGCGUAGGCGGGUUGGAAAGUCAGGUGUGAAAUCCUAAAGCUUAACUGUAGAACUGCACUUGAAACUUCUAAUCUAGAGUAUGGGAGGGGGAGAUGGAAUUAGUGGUGUAGGGGUAAAACCCGUAGAUAUCACUAGGAAUACCUAAAGCGAAGGCGAUCUCCUGGAACAUUACUGACGCUAAGGCGUGAAAGCGUGGGGAGCAAACAGGAUUAGAUACCCUCGUAGUC
rnacentral:rRNA from 1 species